rnacentral:tRNA from 1 species
CGGCGAGUAGCGCAGCUUGGUAGCGCAGCUGGUUUGGGACCAGUGGGUCGGAGGUUCGAAUCCUCUCUCGCCGACCA